rnacentral:snRNA from 1 species
GCACAUAUACUAAAAUUGGAAUGAUACAGAGAAGAUUAGCAUGGCUGCUGCGCAAGGACGAUACGCAAAUUCGUGAAGCGUUCCAUAUUUAA